AUUGAACGCUGGCGGCAUGCCUUACACAUGCAAGUCGAACGGCAGCGGACCUUCGGGUGCCGGCGAGUGGCGAACGGGUGAGUAAUAUAUCGGAACGUACCUUUCAGUGGGGGAUAACGUAGCGAAAGUUACGCUAAUACCGCAUAUUCUGUGAGCAGGAAAGCAGGGGAUCGCAAGACCUUGCGCUGAUUGAGCGGCCGAUAUCAGAUUAGCUAGUUGGUGAGGUGAAGGCUCACCAAGGCGACGAUCUGUAGCGGGUCUGAGAGGAUGAUCCGCCACACUGGAACUGAGACACGGUCCAGACUCCUACGGGAGGCAGCAGUGGGGAAUUUUGGACAAUGGGCGCAAGCCUGAUCCAGCCAUGCCGCGUGAGUGAAGAAGGCCU
rnacentral:rRNA from 1 species